ACAUUCUGUACUUUGCUUAUAUUCAUAUCUGCCGAUAUAUGUAUAUACAUUUCAAGGGGAUACUUAAACGUAUUAUUCGUGGAAUGUUAUGCGAUCUGUUUCGGUUUUACUUGGAAAGUGCUCAAUUGGUGUCUCAAUGAAUCGUACUUAUGGCGGGGAUUAUUGUGCGUCCGUUAAGAUUUGGCACAUGCAUUAUCUCAAUCACUAUCGCCGGAAAUAUAAUCCUUUGCCGAGUGCUCUCCAUUUGAAGCCCAAAGAGUAUACCAGACACGAGAUCAUCCAGGUGACAUCUGGGCGCAGAUAACCGGAGUUGGCAGAGAAUUCCAAUCUGCUGACAGCGACUUGGACUGGAAAUAUUCCGCGUCUUGGGCCCAAAUGAAAAGUGACAAACUUCAAUUGAUGUGCACCCCAUCAAUUAGCCGCACGCACAUCGCAUCCGAUCCACUUGAAACGACCGAACAUCCAACAUCCAUGAUAUCCGAUAUGACCACCACUGAGCUGUGAUGAUCUUCAAGCUCCAUCGUCGAUCGUCUCGUGUUGAGUUCAUUAAGUCAGCGAACCAUGCUGCGCAAAAUGAUGCUGUUCUGCAAUUGAAAUUGAAAUGUUUGUCCACAUAAAUUAUCGAAAUAUUCUGAAUAUAUCCGACGAUAUGGAAAUGAUAAUACAUACAUGUUCGCUCGACGGACGGAUACUAGAAUCUAGCCAAAACUGGCUCCAAACGUCCGUGACCGAAAACUUAACCAGCUUGAACUGGUAAUUUGGACAGAUGGACAGAUGGACAGUUGGACGGUUGGACGGUUGGACGGUUGGACGGACGGGCAGACUUCGCGGCAGACGAACAAUAAUAGCACUCAAUAUUUAACUCGCAUACCAAAUAUUUUGCGUUAUUUGUAUAAUACUAUGCCGCAAAUGAAUUGAAGCGGCCCGAAAGUCGUUCAAUGGAAUGUGACGAACUACAAAUAUGAAUCCACAAAGUAUACACUCUACAAGUAAUAUGAUACCCACCUCUCUUAAAUGUAAAUCUAAAGAAAGUAUGUUCCAUUAAACUAUACUAUCUUAUAAAGUAAGCAAAU
ensembl:ncRNA lncRNA:CR44587 long non-coding RNA:CR44587